rnacentral:rRNA from 1 species
UGGGGAAUUUUGGACAAUGGGCGCAAGCCUGAUCCAGCAAUGCCGCGUGCAGGAUGAAGGCCUUCGGGUUGUAAACUGCUUUUGUACGGAGCGAAAAGGUCUGCCCUAAUACGGUGGGCUCAUGACGGUACCGUAAGAAUAAGCACCGGCUAACUACGUGCCAGCAGCCGCGGUAAUACGUAGGGUGCGAGUGUUAAUCGGAAUUACUGGGCGUAAAGCGUGCGCAGGCGGUUAUGCAAGACAGAGGUGAAAUCCCCGGGCUCAACCUGGGACCUGCAUUUGUGACUGUAUAGCUAGAGUACGGUAGAGGGGGAUGGAAUUCCGCGUGUAGCAGUGAAAUGCGUAGAUAUGCGGAGGAACACCGAUGGCGAAGGCGAUCCCCUGGACCUGUACUGACGCUCAUGCACGAAAGCGUGGGGAGCAAACA